rnacentral:rRNA from 1 species
UAGGGUGGUUUUAGCAGAGGGGCUCACCUGUUCCCAUUCCGAACACAGAAGUUAAGCCCUCUAGCGCCGAUGGUACUGCGAAAGCGGGAGAGUAGGUCGCCGCCAGUUUUUU